rnacentral:sRNA from 1 species
UCAGUACCUGGGAAGCUACAGAGGAAGGUGCUGGAUCUUCUGGAGCUAGAGUUACAGGCAGUUGUGAGUCACCUUAUGAUGGGUGCUGGAAACCAAACUCCGGUUGUCUGCAAGAAGAACAAGUACGUAACCACUGAGCCAUCUCUACUGCCCAGUUUCCGUGAUUUUGGAGUUUAUUUUUUUGGAGGAACAGUCUCAUUAUGCAGGCCAGGAUGACCUUGACCUUGUGAAUCUCCUGCUAUUGCUUCCUGAUCAAUGGAAUUUUAGAAUUGUGCCACUAUGCCCAACUAGCCCAAUCCGUUUUAUUGUAUAAAGAGUACAAGUUGAAGGGUGAGAUGAUACUGGAGACUAGAAAAGGAAAGGAAGAUAAAGCUACACGACCAGAAGCAUCCCACCACUGUCCAGGAAACAGCAGCAUGAGUUAAAAUUGGUGCCCUCAGAUCGGCCUGCUGUGAGGCAGAGAUGAGUCACUGGGCCCCACCCUGGCUUGGAUGGAAUGGCCUGAACACGUCUGCCUUGCUUAACUCAGGAUACAGUCAGCAGCUAACCCACUGAUGACUGCUUCAGCUCCAUGCAUUGCUAAUAUUGAAAAGGUGCCCCAGCAGCAGGUUACAGAAGGCUGAACCCUGGCUUAACAUCACUAUGCAAUUGUAUACUUUCGGCCUACUGUGCAUUGGAUUACUAGGGACAGAUGAAAACCCCCAGCCUGCAACACGGUAAACUCACCAAGGAGAAGCUACCAGCCAAACAACUGGCACAGUGCAAGUCCUCUUGACUUUGAUCCUGGAGUGCAAAGGAUAUAAUUACAUCGUCAAGGUGGGAUUAUCCUGUCCCUGACCCCUACUCUGACCCUAUUCCUACCUCAUGACCCAGCAAGAAGGUGUGGCAUUUUCUGCUUCUGACUCACAGCUUCCCCAAUCCUGGUUACCAGGUCAGGGGCCCGACGUGAAAGACUCCAUCAUCUGACUUUCCUUGUUGCUAGACAGAGCCGAGUGACCUGAGAGUCCUCUCCUCCAGAUCUCACAACUCACAAGAUCUGGCAAACUGAGUGUUCUGGGAAGCCACAGCAGGAUCCGCAGGAGAAAGGGGGCAGUAGGGAGAUUCCCAAAGGCUGUGAAGAUGACUGCACCAGAAGACUACUGUACUUUAACCAGUAAAAGAUUCCAGACCACCCCAUCUUUCCCUCUGCUUGAAUUGUAAGUCUACAGAGCCCCUCAACUUUAAGAUUCAGAUAGACUUGUUUAUGUGUGUGUGUGGUGGUGCUACAGCUCAAACCCUCCUCAGACUCCUCCUAAUUCCUUCUAGCCAAGUCUACCACCUCCAUAUCCCUACCCUCACCCUAAACUGCAUGUCCUUCUCUUUUUGCUAAGAACUCAUUUACCUGCUUAAUGAUGCCCACAUACUUCUGGACUGUGGAUCAUCCACUGGAGCACAGGUAAACUUAGAGGAGCCAUACCCUUAAAGAAAAGUGACUCAGAAGUCCCCUCCCCUCCAAGCCAAAAGUCGACCAGUUUGGUCUUGUGCAGAUAGGAGUUGGCUGUGUAGAUGACGAUGGGCUCCUGACUGAAUUCCUAGUCUUGGUUUAUUUUUGUUUACUUAUUUUGUUUAGCCCUGUAGCCCAAGUGGUCUGAAACUCACUACGAACCCAGUUGGGCCUCAAACUCACACUUAUCCUACUGCCUCAGCUUCUGGAGGUCCAUAGGCAUGAGCACCACAGUUGGCUCCUGAUGGCUUUAAAUACAAAGGUUAUCAGAAACCCAUGGAAAGAAGAAAUGAAAUGAAAUGAAAUGAAAUGAAAUGAAAUGAAAGAAAUGAUCCUUCAUUUACUAAGGCAUGACAGGGACGGCAGGAAUGCACCAGUAGGAUCAGGGGAGCUACGCUGUUUGUUGAGUGAUUGGUUAGGUCAUCUCUGCUCUGUCUCAUUUCCCAUAUCCAUAAAGUGUAGGCGGAAGUGUUCACCUUGCAUGGUAUUAGGAAGACUUGAUGUGGAAGUUCUCGUCUCCCAGUGGUGGAGAAACAGUGAAGUACUAGAGCAAAAGAAACAUUUAAAACCUUACCACAAACCCAGGGACUGCAUAGCCUAGGGUAGAGCACGGGCCUAGAAUACACCUACGGCCCUGGAUGUAGUCCCUGGCACUAGAAUUAGAAUCGUUUCUCUCUUUAUUUUUAUGGGAACAGGGUUUGAGAGGGUGUCCUCACCCGAGCAGGGAAGGCAUGGCUGAGUGCAUGUUAGCAGGAGCGUGCGGCUAGAAUUCCUCACGUCCUGGCAGACCAGGCGGCAGACACAUUUAUCAUCCUCAUCAACACCAUUGAGACAGGCUCUUGCUAUGUGGGCCAGGAGAAUGGACACUCACAAUGUUCUGCUUCAGCAUGCACUGGGCAGGAAAAACGUUUCUUUUAUUCUACUACUUAGAUUAACAGCUACUAGGCCAGGAAGAUGCCUCAGCAUAGAGAGGUGCUAGUGGAGAGGCCUGGUGACCUGAGUUAAUACCUAAAUUCCAGAAGAAGGCAGGAGAUAAGUGAUUCCCAAGAGCUGUCGUCAGACUUCCACAACACACACACACACGUAAAGUGAAAGAUAACAGCUACUAAGAAUUCAGAAAUUUCUCUGCCAUGAUGUGCCAACUGUCUUUGUAAAUCCUUGCAAUAACUCAUCAUGGAUUUGGGGAGAUGACUGUCAUCUCAUCUUACUAAUGGGGUUCAGAGGUUAAAUAGCUUGUUCCAGGGAUCCUAGAAAAGAGGCCAGAUAGGACUUUUAGCUGUACUAUCUAGCUAUGCGAUCUUAGUAGUCCCCGAUCAUCUCUCUUCAGUAUCUUAAACCAUGCAGCAGAGGAGGAAUCUCGGUGAGGUUUAUAGAAAACAUAUAUGAAGUAAUGAUGGCAAUACCUGACAUUUCAUGGAGGGUGACUUUUUAAAAACAACCGGUCAAUGUCCUUGUUACUGUUCUAUUGCUAUUCCUUUGAAGAGAAACCAUCCAAGGCAACGUAUAAGAAAAAGCAUUUAAGGGCUGGAGAGAUGGCUCAGAGGUUAAGAGCGCUGUCUGC